CAAUAUCCAGCAAGAAACCUCUGGCAUGAAACUUCACAACCCACUUUUAACACUUUUGAUCAGUCACAUCACCUUCUCCAUACACUGCACCAAUCUUUUUUGCAUUUCAGUUGUGUUUUACCUUUCUUGAAAUAAUAAAGCAUAAAAUGCUGAAAACUUUGUUUUCUGUCAUCU